ensembl:Mt_tRNA
GGACACGUGCCUGAAUUUAAAGGGUUACCUUGAUAGGGUGAAUAAUAGAGGCUAAAACCCUCUCGUCUCCU